rnacentral:rRNA from 1 species
GACGAACGCUGGCGGCGUGCUUAACACAUGCAAGUCGAACGGAAAGGCCCUGCUUUUGUGGGGUGCUCGAGUGGCGAACGGGUGAGUAACACGUGAGUAACCUGCCCUUGACUUUGGGAUAACUUCAGGAAACUGGGGCUAAUACCGGAUAGGAGCUCCUGCUGCAUGGUGGGGGUUGGAAAGUUUCGGCGGUUGGGGAUGGACUCGCGGCUUAUCAGCUUGUUGGUGGGGUAGUGGCUUACCAAGGCUUUGACGGGUAGCCGGCCUGAGAGGGUGACCGGCCACAUUGGGACUGAGAUACGGACCAGACUCCUACGGGAGGCAGAAGUGGGGAAUAUUGCACAAUGGGCCGAAGCCUGAUGCAGCAACGCCGCGUGCGGGAUGACGGCCUUCGGGUUGUAAACCGCUUUCGCCUGUGACGAAGCGUGAGUGACGGUAAUGGGUAAAGAAGCACCGGCUAACUACGUG